GUGGGUGAUGCUUUUGUCAACACCUGACCCCCCGGCCCCACCGCCACGGGAAGCCUUCCUUGACUCACACCCCAUGGGGAGUCUUGGCCCUGUUCACGGUCAUGGGCAGCCUUGCUGCUGGAACAGGCUGGACACCCAGAGCAGCGGCCUGUAGCCUCCGGGGGCAGGUCAAGCUCCCACGGGCCCUACAGCAGGGGUUCCCCCGACAUCCACACGCCCACCCAGAGGGAGUCGCAUGGCCUGGCAGCUCCCUGUGUCCCCAAACCAGGACGGGAGGGAACCCGCCCCAGUGCCUGAUGAGGAUCUUGGGGGCUCUUCCUCAAAAGAUGGGCAACAACUUGGGGCAGAGGGAUGCCCCCCCGCCGGCCUCCCCCCCGGCCCCUCCCCCUUAGCAGACUUCCUGUUUCCGUUCUCCUUGGGCGAAAGUCACUGAAAGCCUUUGAGGAUUUUUAAAGAGCCUUGAAGCCAGAGGCCUCUCAGCCAUUGGUUCAUGUGUGUCGGUGCAAAGAGGAUGUUGAACGGAGGUCACGUGAGGAAGUGGGCUUAAAACUGCGUCUUCCAUCCUCCCCAUGGGGCCCCCCUGUCACAGGUGCAGGAGGAAAUACUCCCCAAAGCCUGGGGUGGGCUCGUCCUCACGCUGGAACCUUCCUUCCAGCGAGGCUCCGCUUUCCACGCGUGGGAGGGCCGGCGGUCAUCGCUCUGCACGGAGAAGUUCAAGAACACAGAGCCAUCUCACAGGGCGAUACUGGUGUACAGAGGAGCAGGAGGGACGGAGGGGUCCAGCACAUUCCUGGGAGUGAAAACCCAGCGCCAGUGACCCUGUGGAAGGAAGCCUCCAACCCACCUCCCUGGGCGCCGUCAAGCUGCUUUCACGCCUUCGGUUUCACCCUCACCGUGCUGCUGGGAGUUACAGGAGGAAGGCGGCAGAGCCCACGUGACUCAGCUGAGAUGAACAUCUUUCUGAAUCCACACGGGACGUGCCUUCAUCUCUCAAGUGCUGGAUGGAGGCAGCACAUUUCCUGCACGUUCUGUAAUUAUGAGUCUUUUUUUUUUUUUCUUUUUCCUUUUAGGGCCGCACCCGAGGCAUAUGAAAGUUCCCAGGCAAACGGGUGAAUCAGAGCUGCAGCUGGCAGCCUACAGCACAGCCACAGCCACACGGGAUCUGACCUACCCCACAGCUCAUGGCAACGCCCGAUCCUUAACCCACUGAGUGAGGCCAGGGAUCGAACCUACAUCCUCAUGGAUACUAGUUGGGUUUGUUACCACUGAGCCUCGAUGGGAACCGCCUACAAUUAGGAGCCCCUGGUGCUGUGAGGUCCCCCUCCCCAGCUUACCUGAGCAGAGCUCUCCUCUCUGGCUGCACUGCUAUCUAAUGGAUUAAAAAAAAAAUUCUUUUUUGUAAGUUUUGUUGAAAAACCAUACUUUUAUUAUAUUGAAGUAUGGUUGAUUGACAAGGUUGCAAGCAUUUCUGCUGUACAGCAAAGUGACUCAGUGAUGCGCAGACACAUGUCCCUUGCCUCUCAGAUUCUUUUCCCACCCAGAUGACCCCGGAACACUGGCUGGAGUUCCCUGUGCCCUACAGCAGGUCCCCGAUGGCCAAGUUUCUAACAGACUUGAUCAAGGCGUCCCCACCAGAACCAAGGGACACGCGGGUGUGUCUGGGUUCAAGCCGUUUAUUUUUUAUUGUUUUUAUUUUUAUCGACGUAUAGUUGAUUCACAAUAUUGUGUUAGUUUCAGGUGUACAGCAAAGUGCUUCAGUUAUACGUGUGUAUAUUCUUUCCCAGAUUCUUUUCCCUUAUAGGUUGUUAUAAAAUAUUGAGUAUAAUUCCCUGUGCUGUACAGUAGGACCUUGUUGGUUAUUCCAACUGUUAUUUUUUGAAUGACUUACUGCAAACUCUUUUGCAGUGGUUGUUGUUUAAAAUGUAGCUUUUUUUUUUUUUUUUGUCUUUUUGCCUUUUCUAGGGCCGCUUCCGUGGCAUAUGGAGGUUCCCAGGCUAGGGGUCGAAUCGGAGCUGCAGCUGCCAGCCUACACCAGAGCCACAGCAACGGAGGAUCUGAGCCGCGUCUGCAACCUACACCACAGCUCGCGGCAACACUGGAUCCUUUACCCACUGAGCGAGGCCAGGGAUUAAACCCGAGACCUCAUCGUUCCUAGUUGGGUUUGUUUCACUGUGCCAUGACGGGAAGUCCUAUUUUAACAGUUCUUGAAUGAGGGCUUUUCACUUGGGACUUUUGAAAAACUAAGACGUUUUGGAAGAGAAGUGGCUAUUUUGGCUGAACUACACCAGAUGUGGGAUUAUGUAAUAACAAAGAGUCCCCUGGGUGAGUCAUUCUGAUACCUCGGUGCGGGUUGGCCUUGUGGCCUGAUGGCACCUUCCACUUGUGCUGGGGAAACAUGAUGGUUGGGGGAGGGGCAGAGGUGCCCUGACCCCGGGGGUCUUGCUCUUUGGCACUGGGGUCUUCUUUCGGACUCCCCUGCUUGCUCAUGGCACUCAGUUGUUCAUCGCCUAAAUAAAGAACGUUUAGCUUCUGCCCCACACCCCCCUUGGCACUGCCGUUCCCCACGCAUUGGCCCAGAACAUGCUACCCUACGUUGGCAUCAAUUCACCGUGGAUUUUCACCCACUGAUCUUGUUGACAGUGUGAUUCGGGGUCGUAAAUAUGGAGCCAGACAAAGCUAUGAGAACGUGCUGGAUCCAGGGGAGGCCACUUGAAUCCCCACAUGCAGCACGGCCCUGUCA
rnacentral:lncRNA from 9 species